rnacentral:rRNA from 1 species
AACGAACGCUGGCGGCAUGCCUAACACAUGCAAGUCGAACGAUCCCUUCGGGGAUAGUGGCGCACGGGUGCGUAACGCGUGGGAACCUGCCCUUAGGUUCGGAAUAACUCAGAGAAAUUUGAGCUAAUACCGGAUAAUGUCUUCGGACCAAAGAUUUAUCGCCUUUGGAUGGGCCCGCGUUGGAUUAGCUAGUUGGUGGGGUAAAGGCCUACCAAGGCGACGAUCCAUAGCUGGUUUGAGAGGAUGAUCAGCCACACUGGGACUGAGACACGGCCCAGACUCCUACGGGAGGCAGCAGUGGGGAAUAUUGGACAAUGGGCGAAAGCCUGAUCCAGCAAUGCCGCGUGAGUGAUGAAGGCCUUAGGGUUGUAAAGCUCUUUUACCCGGGAUGAUAAUGACAGUACCGGGAGAAUAAGCCCCGGCUAACUCCGUG